ACUGCAGGCUCUGCGGACUACAGAGCUGUAAACAUGUUCAGCUUCCUUAUUACAACAAUGUGCACAUAUUACUGAAUUCACUAAUGUGAUUUGCUGAUGCAAUUCAUAAAGUGCAGCAUGAGACGGUAGGAAUGGAGAAACAAUUACUCGGACAGCUCAGUAUGAAAAUACAGCUCUUAAAAAGAUAAAAAGUGAGAUCAAGAUAUAUUUCAAUCACACCAUUGGAGCCAUAGUGUCUCUUGAAAGAUAUGACCUGAAACCUAAGAAUAAUAGGAUCACUGAAAAAGCCUUCGUUUCCAAUAUUUAGGCUCCUUCCCCGUAUCGAUUUGCCAUAUUUUGCUCUAACAAGCUUGGGUCAUUCAGUAAAUCUGACAUUUCUUUCAAUCUCACAUUCCUCUAGUCUAUUUCCUCCCCUCCCAGCUUUUCCCCCACAAAGGAAACAUUCCUUGCAGGCACAGAGAAAAAGAAACUGACUGGCGACUUCCUGCAGCAAUGCUUCACCUUUCCUCCCACCAGGCCUAGAUGACAGCUAACAACUUGCACCUCUGCCUUUGAAUCUCUGUAAUUCCUUUAGGCAUUCCUCAAAAGAUUAGCAAACAAGAAAGCAAGUUUCUGACUAGUUCAGCAUUAACUACUCCAUGUUGGCUGAGUACAUCCAGUCAUUUAAGGGAAAAUACACCUCCCCAGCUGGAUCUGACCAAAAUCCCUCCCUAACAUAAGACUCAGCCUUCAGCAGGCGCCAGCAAACACUCAUCAGCAGUUGGCCACUGCUUUACCAAUGACUCCUCCCCACCCCUUCCUUUUGACAGUGGCGCUUCCUGAUUGGCAACACUGUACUCUGUAACAUUGCCCUUGAUCGAUCCGCAGCUGCCUUCAAGUUCCUUAUAUCCCACAACUACUGCAUCCAUCCCUACCAGGAGAAAUAGUAAGGAUUCACUCACUCCAUAACCCUUCUGUGCUCUCCUCCUGUACUUCUUGGUACGUAUCUUCUUCCUGCAAACGUCUUCCUUCUCACACUUGGCCCACCCACUUCUUCAGAGCAAGGGGGGGAUCCAAGGGGGAUCCAAGGAGCCUAGACAAGUGGCUCAGGUCAUCCCUCUUUGGAGGAUGCAAGGCACAGAAACACGCAGGGUGUCACUCUCUUCUCUUCUCUCCCACCCCAUCAGCUGAUCACUAGUUUAGACAGAAGUAGAGGGCUGGGACAAAAGGACCAGGCAGGGAGUACCUCUGAAUUAACAUGUUAAAUGCUGGCUUUUUUGUUCCUAAAUGUUUUGAGACAAGUUAUGAACCUGAGGAGAGGAAGGAUUCUUUCUAGCGUGACAAGGAAGACUAGCAUCUUGCUAUUUAUCUUUAAAUAACUUUAAAAUAACAUUAAAUGAUUUGAGAAAAUGGCUCUUCAGCAUAUGCACAGCAAUGUGAAUAGAAGGCACAGAAAAACUCAUAAAACGCAAAAGCCAGUGGAAAAUAAGUACCAAUUAAAUAAAAAGGAGGAAAAGAAAGAAAAGAAAGCCCCACAGAAAGAGAAAUAUGGGCACGGAAACUAGUUCCACCAUUCCCCACCCAAAGUAGAAUGAAGCCUAAUGAAAUAUAAUGCAUCCUUCAUAAAUUAAAUAAUCCAAAAUCUCAGUACUUUCCCCAGCCUAUAGCUAUUCUUCUUACAGAUAUUUAGCACAUGAAAAGAAAGACACUUAAAUGACCAUAUGCAUAUGGAUAUGCUUACCAUUACCAUUUCUACUUCAAUAACAAAUUUGGCCAUUUCUGAGACAGUGUAAGAUCUACAAACGCAACUGAAUCUAGAUAUUUCCCACUCCAAAACCUAGAAUCAUCAAUUGAUUUUUAAGAAAGUGGUCUGCAGAAAUUAGCAGCAACCCUGUGAGAUAAAUUGGGCUCAAAGAGUAUGACUGGCUCAACGUCACCCAGCUGGCUUUCAUGACUAAGUUUCUAGAAGCUACAGAAGAGCAUUCUCCUAAGCUGCUUCAAGAACGAAGACCUUGGGUGAGCUGGACCUACCUCAGGUAGAUCGCAGAGCAUUGUCAACAAUAAAAAAAAUAUAUCGCCUCAAGGUAAGAGGCACACAGCAGAACCUGGGAAUUACACACCAUUGGACUGUUUUUUAAAAAAUAAAUGAAUAUCUAAAGAAUUGAUUCUCUUUUGUUUGGGAGGAGGUGUAUGACACACCAACAGAUUCCAGGUAAACAUUUUCUAAAUGUUGGGCAUGCCAUCACUGUUCUAAGCCAAAAACAUGACACAACUGGUUUAAUGUAUGGUACUAUACUAAGCCAGAAUAACCUUAGGGCUUAAUAUAUGUACACAUUGUGAUCUCUGAUUUCUGCCUUAGAGUAUGAAAUUUGUCUGUGUUUGUAGGAACCCAUAUUCCUUAUUUUCCAUUAUCAUUUUUCCUUCCUUCUCUCUUACACAUACACAAUUACACCAUAGAUCCAGACACAAUACAUUGCAUUUCUCAGAUAUGCUGCAUUUUUAUUUGUUCGUGCAAAUCUUUCAGGGAUGCAUUAUUAACAUAAGAAUGUUGACGCAGAUUUGUUAUAAUUACUAUAAGACUCACUAUAAUUAUAUUUGUGUCUUCCCUUCCUAAUUUUAGCCUCACAACAAUCCUUUGAAGUAGGUUAAAUUGAGAAGCCUUGUAUUUAAUGGUACUCUAAACCAGGAAUGAAGAAAGUAAUUUUGUUCCAAAGAAAAGGACAUGCUAUCUUACAUUUGCAUCUCAAGAUGUGUGGUGGUAUAAAACUAUGUAAUUUUAAAAAGUGUGAAAUGUUAAAUACUGGAUUUAAUUUUGUAGUGUUAUUUUUUUAAAACGAUGCCCCUGUCUCAGAGUACACUUAGGGUUAUAAGUAGAGCUACUUACAUCUGCUAUUACUUUGAUGCUGUUGCUCCUUUUAAUAAUGGUAUUUUAGACAGCUUCAGCAGUUGCUUCAUCUCAUUUUAUUGUAGCACUUUAAUGACUGAAAUCAUCUUUUCUUGCAAUGCAACUAUUAAAAACAUAGGAGUUUUCUUCAGGAUAGCAAGCAGAAAAUUCCACGAGAAUCACUGCAGGAGAGAAUUAACUGGCACAGUCUCUUGUCGCUAGUGAGAUUUUACAACAGAGUUACAGGUGAUGAUGUGUGAAAACCAGGAGAGGCAUAUGGCUGGGCUCACUGAGCACCACAGGCCAUUAGAUUUGCCCUCUAUUAUUUUGGAGAUGAGCCUAGAUGCUCUUUUUAGAAGACAGAGAUGGAAUGGCUUACACAGGAAGGAAAAGUAGUCUCUAUUAAAAAACACUGGAGAAGAAGUUGAAGUUCUUAUGUGAUUUCAGAUGUCUGGAAAGGAAGACCAAGUCUUCCCCAAAUGUUGCAAUGACUACAUUUAUUGAUUAAUAGUUAAAUAUCUCUGGACAGGUCGAACACUAAACACUUAUCUUUCAAAGCUUUUGUUUUCCUACUAUAACAGUGAUUUCAGUAUUCCUGCUUUAAACUAUAAUAUCAGAUAUAUCUGCUACAGUAAGUGAUAUACUAGAUGCAAGAAUAUUGGAAAUACACUUGUGGGCCCAGUUAGAAAGUUGUUACUUGGCACCUUUCCUGCCAUUUUGAAACAAGGAUUAUUACAAAUUUCCCAUGAGAACUAAGGCCAAAUUUGAAUUUCUCACCCAAUAAUGCCAAAAUACAUCUAAUCUUCUUAAGUGCUUAAAAUAUCAUUGUAUUAUUGCUAUAACUGGAACCAAAUAUUUGCCAGGAUUUGAAGCGUGCUGAACCCACUAAUUUUUAACACUUAAAAAAAUCGGAAGAAAAUGGGAUAGUUACUCUUAAUUACUUGAUCAUUAAUAUACUUUUAAAAGUUUUAAAAGGAAUAUAACUUAUCCCCAAACAGCUGAAAGGCAGUAUAUACUUACUGAGAGUUUCGGUUAUGCUGCCUGCUUGGGCUAAAUGCUUCAACAGCCUCUGAAACUCCAGUAAUUUUGAGUGAAUUGGAACAGGUUUUAUAGAGGCUAAACUAUUAUUACCAGCAAAUAAUAUUUUUUACAAAACAUUUGGCAGAAGGAGUUUGGAACAGAGCUUUGGAAUAUUCUAUAUUACAAAACAUUUGUUCUCCUCUUUCUAUUAGGUUUAACUACGCAAAAGCAUGACAAAGGCGUACUUUAUUUAAUGCUACACAUUUUAACGGCUUCCAGACUGGUUUUUGCUCAAAAUUGGAGGA